rnacentral:rRNA from 1 species
AGCAGCCGCGGUAAUUCCAGCUCCAAUAGCGUAUAUUAAAGUUGUUGCAGUUAAAAAGCUCGUAGUUGAAUUUCGAGAUCAAAUUGUUGGUCGUGCCUCGGUACGUACUGGCAUUAUUGAUUUCUCCCUUCUGAAGAACCUUGAUGUCAUUAAUUUGGUGUCUUGGGGAAUCAGGACCGUUACUUUGAAAAAUUAGAGUGUUUAAAGCAGGCUCACGCUUGAAUACAUUAGCAUGGAAUAAUGAAAUAGGACGUUUGAUUCUAUUUUGUUGGUUUCUAGGAUCGACGUAAUGAUUAAUAGGGAUAGUUGGGGGCAUUAGUAUUCAAUUGUCAGAGGUGAAAUUCUUGGAUUUAUUGAAGGCUAACUACUGCGAAAGCAUUUGCCAAGGAUGUUUUCAUUAGUCAAGAACGAAAGUUAGGGGAUCGAAGACGAUCAGAUACCGUCGUAGUCUUAACCAUAAACUAUGCCGACUUGGGAUCGGAUGAUGUUAAUUUUUUAAUGUACUCAUUCGGCGCCUUAA